rnacentral:rRNA from 1 species
GAAAGUACAAAAGGGCGUACGGUGGAUGCCUAGGCUCUUACAGGCGAUGAAGGACGUGAUAAGCUGCGAUAAGCUGUGGGUAGGUGCAAAUGACCAUUGAUCCGCAGAUUUCCGAAUGGGACAACCCGGCAGGUUGAAGACCUGUCAUCCCGCUAAGCGGGAGGCUAACGAGGGGAACUGAAACAUCUUAGUACCCUCAGGAAAAGAAAAUAAUAAUGAUUCCCUUAGUAGUGGCGAGCGAACGGGGAAGAGCCCAAACCGUGGAGGUCUCGGCCUUCACGGGGUUGUAGGACCACGAUGUUGGACUUGGUUCGAUUAGAGGAACGUUUUGGAAAGAACGACCAUAGAGAGUGACAGUCUCGUACUCGACAAUCGAAUCGGCCAUAGUGGUAUCCUGAGUAGGGCGGGACACGUGAAAUCCUGUCUGAAUCCGGCGGGCCCAUCCGCCAAGGCUAAAUACUCGUAAGAGACCGAUAGCGAACCAGUACCGUGAGGGAAAGGUGAAAAGCACCUCUGUCAGAGGAGUGAAAAAGUUCCUGAAACCGUACGCCUACAAGCGGUCGGAGCAACGUAAGUUGUGACGGCGUGCCUUUUGCAUAAUGAACCUACGAGUUGCCGUCGUCGGCAAGGUUAAGCGCAAUGAUGCGCGCAACCGAAGCGAAAGCGAGUCUGAAUAGGGCGCAUAGUCGGCGGUGGCAGACGCGAAACCAAGUGAUCUACCCUUGUCCAGGUUGAAGUCCCGGUAACACGGGAUGGAGGACCGAACCGAUAAGCGUUGAAAAGCUUCCGGAUGAGGUGAGGGUAGGAGUGAAAGGCCAAUCAAACUUGGAGAUAGCUCGUACUCCCCGAAAUGCAUUUAGGUGCAGCCUCGGGUAAGGUACUGAUGAGAGGUAGAGCGACUGAUUGGAUGCGAGGGCUUCACCGCCUAUCAAGUCCGGCCAAACUCCGAAUGCUCAUCAGCAACAUCCCGGGAGUGAGGGCAUGGGUGCUAAGGUCCAUGUCCGAGAGGAGAAGAAUCCAGAUCACCGGCUAAGGUCCCCAAAUAGCAGCUAAGUUGCAUUAACGAAGUCCGACCGCAGCGACAGCCAGGAUGUUGGCUUGGAAGCAGCCAUUCAUUUAAAGAGUGCGUAACAGCUCACUGGUCGAGGGUCCGGGCAUGGAUAAUAAUCGGGUAUAAGGCAGACACCGAAGCCGCGGGAUAGUAAUGUAUAUUAAAAGUAUCGGUAGGGGAGCAUUCCAUCGGCGUUGAAUGCAGUAGGACGACUACUGCUGGAGCUUAUGGAAAAGCAAAUGUAGGUAUAAGUAACGAUAAGGAGGGUAAGAUUCCCUCCCGCCGUAAGACUAAGGUUUCCCGGGCAAUGCCAAUCAUCCCGGGGUCAGUCGGGUCCUAAGGCUCAGCCGAACGGCGAGGCCGAUGGCAGAAAGGGUUAAUAUUCCCUUACUGCCGCACGGAGCGACGCGGAGACGGAGGCGUGACACCACCGCGGAGAUACGGAAUUCUCCGUUGAAGAGCGUAGGCGUUGAGGGCGGCAGGCAAAUCCACCGCCCGAGUCGAAUCUCGAAAGUAUGCCUUUCCCUUCGGGGCGAGGCAAUAGCGUGGGUAACCAUACUCCCGAGAAAAUCCGCUAAGCUCAAUCCGUGCGGCACCCGUACCGCAAACGGACACACGUAGUCGGGUAGAACAUACUGAGGCGUUGAGAGAUUCAUGGUUAAGGAACUAGGCAAACUGACCCCGUAACUUCGGGAUAAGGGGUCCUCGUCGCAAGGCGAGGCGCAGAGAAUAGGUCCAGGCAACUGUUUAACAAAAACACAGGGCUGUGCAAACUCGAAAGAUGAGGUAUACAGCCUGACACCUGCCCGGUGCCGGAAGGUUAAGAGGAGAGCUUAGAACGCAAGUUCGAGGGUUUGAAUUGAAGCCCCGGUAAACGGCGGCCGUAACUAUAACGGUCCUAAGGUAGCGAAAUUCCUUGUCGGGU